rnacentral:lncRNA from 1 species
CAAUUUGAUUUUAGUGUUCCAAGUGGCUGCCAAGUGACCCAAAAACCAUUUUGCAUUUCUUCUUUUUUAGAUAAUGCUGGAGAGCCCACUAAGAAACCUGGCAAUUGGUGUUAGCUUCAGCCUCAGAUCUCAUGGAAAACCCAUCCCACAUAGUACAUGGAAAGCACCAUCAUUACCUCUUAAGAAAUAAGCUGGUGCACGUGAUUGACCCAAUCAACACAGUGGCUUGCUGUGUCAGAGGCAGAAGGAGUGAGUGGGCCUGGGUUUCAAGGACUGGAACUGAGCCUAACAGCCAGCCAGGAUGCCCCUGCACCCAGUGAACAGGACUCAGGUCCUGCUGAGACGGAGCAACAUCUCAGUCCUCAGAAGGACCUUCUCAGCCCUGUGGCUCAGGAGGCUGCCUGGGAGGUACAGGCCAAAUCAGUGAGGUUUAUAAACAUGCCUGAACAACACAGCAGUGGCUGCUCAGCUCAGAAUUCCCCAUGUUUAUUGUCUCUUCUGGAAGCAUAAGGAGAAAGAGGGUAGUUUGGUUAUUUGAUUUCUUUUUGACAAAACCAAACCUUUGUAGUAAUUAUUAAGAGGCAGCGUGGAAGCCCAAUAGAUGAGGUGAAAAUAUGGCUUUCAUUCUAGCUUUAUUUUGAUCCUCUGCUCAUUUUUUUCCUUGCAGGGGAAAAACGGGGGAAGCCAUAAACCCCUCUGGGCACUGUGUGUGUUGUACUUAUUCCCCAGCCAACGAGAGUUUUAUGGGAAAGUUUUCUUUGUGUUGGUGAAGCAUUUUCUUUUUUAUCUUUUUAACAACAAAAACAAAAACAUUAAUGAAAACAAAAUUUCUCAACUCCUGCCACCAAAAAAAAAAGAAGAAGAAAAAGAAAAACUCAUAUAGUCAUAGAGCCGCUUGCCUUAAUAUGAAAGUUUUCAUAAUUUAGUCCUUCCCAAAAAUUAGUGCAUAGGACUGAUUGCAGUUAUGAAACAUUGAAAACUCUGGCUUUUCAGUCACUAAUGUCCUGUUCAGAUAUCCUUGGAGGAAAGCCAAAAGGGAUUGAAAUCUUCUGAAAGACUAAAAGAUGGUUAUCUUCUUUGGCUCUACUGUUUGACUCUAAGUUUCUAGCUAUCAAAAAAGCUAGAAUAAACCAAUUCAAGUAGUGACA